rnacentral:lncRNA from 1 species
GCAAAGUAUUUAUGUCUGUCUUGAGUAGUCCAAUGAGAAGGAACUUUACCAACGGCUAAAUAGUUGACAAUAUUGACAUACCAUGGUUUAGUGGACACAGACAUGAGUUGUUCAUCAGAAAAAAAUUUAUUGAUAGGUGAUUCAUUAGAUAGUGUGACUAUGAUUCAGGACAAGUGAUCCGUUACUGCAUUUUUUGUACCUUUUUUAUCUCUGAUUUCUAGGUUAAAUUCUUGAAGGAGUAAGAUCUAUCAUAUCAAGCGCGCCUUGACGUCUUUCUUUGCUAGGAGAUGUCUAAUGGCUGAGUAUCAGUAUAGACAAUGGUGUGUGACCCAACC